GUGGUGCUAUACUUCAACAGAUGUGGACAAAAAGACCGACUUCUUAGCUUGUUAUGGUGGGUUUACAUAUGUGUUCAAAAAGCGGUGGCAACAGUUCCCUUUUGCCUGUAAUAAACCAUCAUCUGUGAUCAAUUUCAUAUUUUCCGUACCUUAGAUUAUACAAGUUUUUCCGCAGCUUUUCGUAACAUUUCAGAUGUUGUGCUAAGCACGACUAUGUUCUUUCUUACUCCUCCUUCUAUAGGUUGAAAGAUGUCUAUGCUUGUUGUCUCUAUAUUGAUCUUGUUUGUAUUGGUAAAUUAUAUUUUGUUUAUAUCUUACACUUUGCCUUUGAAUAUAAAAUAAUAGGCAUGGAUUACAUGGGCGAAAAAUGUUGGCAUGCACAUAAAUAUGAGACAGUACAUUGGAAAAUCGAUGUGCAUUAUGCGACAGUACGAUUACAAAGAGUAAGGAUUCCUGCUCCAGUAAUAACUUUGGGAAUUCAUAUAUUCCCAUGGAAUUAGCAGGUUAAGGCCAUUUUCUUAAAGAUGCUUUCACACAUGAUUCAUACACUUAAUUUUUUGUCCUGGUUUUGUUCGCAUUAGAACUGUUUAUUUGAGACGAACUGUUAUUUUCCGAUAUCAUUUUGUUCCAUAUUUGUAUUAUCAUAAUUCUACCACUAAUUUAUAUCUAAAUAAUGGGCAACGACACCGCGCAUUGCGCGGUGC